AAUGAACGUUGGCGGCAUGGAUUAGGCAUGCAAGUCGAGCGAGAAGUGUAGCAAUACACGGAAAGCGGCGGAGGGGAGAGUAAUACGCGGGAAUCUGCCCUUAGACCUGGGAUAGCAGCGGGAAACUGCUGGUAAUACCAGAUAAUGUCUAUGGACCAAAGGUGUGAUUCUGUCUAGGGAUGAGCCCACGUCCUAUUAGCUAGUUGGUAGGGUAAUGGCCUACCAAGGCGAUGAUGGGUAGCGGGUGUGAGAGCAUGACCCGCCUCACUGGGACUGAGACACUGCCCAGACACCUACGGGUGGCUGCAGUCGAGAAUCUUCGGCAAUGGGCGCAAGCCUGACCGAGCGAUGCCGCGUGCGGGAUGAAGGCCUUCGGGUUGUAAACCGCUGUCGAGGGGGAGCAACUUCCAUAGAGUUAUCUUUAUGGAUUGAGUGAUCCCUGGAGGAAGGACGGGCUAAGUUCGUGCCAGCCGCCGCCGUAAAAC
rnacentral:rRNA from 1 species